UGACGUUGAUGAGGCUUCAUGGGCAUA
rnacentral:piRNA from 1 species